GUGAAAGGGAGAGAGGUGAGUACAGUAUGUGAAAGGGAGGGAGAGAGGUGAGUACAGUAUGUGAAAGGGAGAGAGAGAGGUGAGUACAGUAUGUGAAAGGGAGAGAAGUGAGUACAGUAUGUGAAAGGGAGAGAGAGAGGUGAGUACAGUAUGUGAAAGGG